rnacentral:rRNA from 1 species
CCUACGGGAGGCAGCAGUGGGGAAUUUUGGACAAUGGGCGAAAGCCUGAUCCAGCAAUGCCGCGUGAGUGAAGAAGGCCUUCGGGUUGUAAAGCUCUUUUGCCAGGGAAGAAACGGUGAAAGCUAAUAUCUUUUGCUAAUGACGGUACCUGAAGAAUAAGCACCGGCUAACUACGUGCCAGCAGCCGCGGUAAUACGUAGGGUGCAAGCGUUAAUCGGAAUUACUGGGCGUAAAGCGUGCGCAGGCGGUUUUGUAAGUCUGAUGUGAAAUCCCCGGGCUCAACCUGGGAAUUGCAUUGGAGACUGCAAGGCUAGAAUCUGGCAGAGGGGGGUAGAAUUCCACGUGUAGCAGUGAAAUGCGUAGAUAUGUGGAGGAACACCGAUGGCGAAGGCAGCCCCCUGGGUCAAGAUUGACGCUCAUGCACGAAAGCGUGGGGAGCAAACAGGAUUAGAUACCCUGGUAGUCCACGCCCUAAACGAUGUCUACUAGUUGUCGGGUCUUAAUUGACUUGGUAACGCAGCUAACGCGUGAAGUAGACCGCCUGGGGAGUACGGUCGCAAGAUUAAAACNCAAAGGAUUGACGG